UACGGAGGGUGCAAGCGUUAUCCGGAUUCACUGGGUUUAAAGGGUGCGUAGGCGGACAGGUAAGUCAGUGGUGAAAUCUCUGGGCUUAACUCAGAAACUGCCGUUGAUACUAUUUGUCUUGAAUAUUCUGGAGGUAAGCGGAAUAUGUCAUGUAGCGGUGAAAUGCUUAGAUAUGACAUAGAACACCGAUAGCGAAGGCAGCUUACUACAGAAUGAUUGACGCUGAGGCACGAAAGCGUGGGGAUCAAACAGG
rnacentral:rRNA from 1 species